GAUACACUCUGCCUGGAGCCCAGGAGCCCCCACCUCAGUCGGCGCUGCAGAACCAGCCCAGGAGAGCAGCUGGCCUGUCAUCUGCUGAGGAGCGGAGGCGUGCGGGGAUCCGGAGGGGAAGGGGGUCUGGAGUGCUCCCGGGGAGACCCUCAGGGACUGCCCUGCUGCUGGCAGCGCCUGGGCCCAGGGCUGAUGGAGGCGUCUCCUGGCCUCCAGGGCUGUGCCCAGGACUGCAAUGGCCUCCCACACUACCUCACUACCCUGGUCCAGGCUCACUGACAGAUGAGGAAACUGAGGCAGG
rnacentral:lncRNA from 1 species